rnacentral:rRNA from 1 species
UUUAUGGAGAGUUUGAUCCUGGCUCAGGAUGAACGCUGGCGGCGUGCCUAAUACAUGCAAGUCGAGCGAACGGACGAGAAGCUUGCUUCUCUAAUGUUAGCGGCGGACGGGUGAGUAACACGUGGAUAACCUACCUAUAAGACUGGGAUAACUUCGGGAAACCGGAGCUAAUACCGGAUAAUAUUUUGAACCGCAUGGUUCAAAAGUGAAAGACGGUCUUGCUGUCACUUAUAGAUGGAUCCGCGCUGCAUUAGCUAGUUGGUAAGGUAACGGCUUACCAAGGCAACGAUGCAUAGCCGACCUGAGAGGGUGAUCGGCCACACUGGAACUGAGACACGGUCCAGACUCCUACGGGAGGCAGCAGUAGGGAAUCUUCCGCAAUGGGCGAAAGCCUGACGGAGCAACGCCGCGUGAGUGAUGAAGGUCUUCGGAUCGUAAAACUCUGUUAUUAGGGAAGAACAUAUGUGUAAGUAACUGUGCACAUCUUGACGGUACCUAAUCAGAAAGCCACGGCUAACUACGUGCCAGCAGCCGCGGUAAUACGUAGGUGGCAAGCGUUAUCCGGAAUUAUUGGGCGUAAAGCGCGCGUAGGCGGUUUUUUAAGUCUGAUGUGAAAGCCCACGGCUCAACCGUGGAGGGUCAUUGGAAACUGGAAAACUUGAGUGCAGAAGAGGAAAGUGGAAUUCCAUGUGUAGCGGUGAAAUGCGCAGAGAUAUGGAGGAACACCAGUGGCGAAGGCGACUUUCUGGUCUGUAACUGACGCUGAUGUGCGAAAGCGUGGGGAUCAAACAGGAUUAGAUACCCUGGUAGUCCACGCCGUAAACGAUGAGUGCUAAGUGUUAGGGGGUUUCCGCCCCUUAGUGCUGCAGCUAACGCAUUAAGCACUCCGCCUGGGGAGUACGACCGCAAGGUUGAAACUCAAAGGAAUUGACGGGGACCCGCACAAGCGGUGGAGCAUGUGGUUUAAUUCGAAGCAACGCGAAGAACCUUACCAAAUCUUGACAUCCUUUGACAACUCUAGAGAUAGAGCCUUCCCCUUCGGGGGACAAAGUGACAGGUGGUGCAUGGUUGUCGUCAGCUCGUGUCGUGAGAUGUUGGGUUAAGUCCCGCAACGAGCGCAACCCUUAAGCUUAGUUGCCAUCAUUAAGUUGGGCACUCUAAGUUGACUGCCGGUGACAAACCGGAGGAAGGUGGGGAUGACGUCAAAUCAUCAUGCCCCUUAUGAUUUGGGCUACACACGUGCUACAAUGGACAAUACAAAGGGCAGCGAAACCGCGAGGUCAAGCAAAUCCCAUAAAGUUGUUCUCAGUUCGGAUUGUAGUCUGCAACUCGACUACAUGAAGCUGGAAUCGCUAGUAAUCGUAGAUCAGCAUGCUACGGUGAAUACGUUCCCGGGUCUUGUACACACCGCCCGUCACACCACGAGAGUUUGUAACACCCGAAGCCGGUGGAGUAACCUUUUAGGAGCUAGCCGUCGAAGGUGGGACAAAUGAUUGGGGUGAAGUCGUAACAAGGUAGCCGUAUCGGAAGGUGCGGCUGGAUCACCUCCUUUCU